AUGGACCUAACAGAAGCAGAAGAUAUUGAGAAGAGGUGGCAAGACUACACAGAAGAACUGUACCAAGAAGAUUUUUACGACCCAGAUAAUCACGGUGGUGUGAUGACUCACCUAGAGCCAGACAUCCUGGAAUGUGAAGUGAAGUGGGCCUUAGAAAGCAUCACUACAAUCAAAGCUAGUGGAGGUGAUGGAAUUCCAGUGGAGCUGUUUCAAAUCCUGAAAGAUGAUGCUGUGAAAGUGCCACACUCAAUAUGCCAGCAAAUUGGGAAAACUCAGCAGUGGCCACAGGACUGGAAAAGGUCAGUUUUCAUUCCUAUCCCAAAGAAAGGCAAUGCCAGAGAAUGCUCAAACUACUGCACAACUGCACUCAUCUCACAUGCUAAUAAGUUAAUGCUCAAAAUUCUCCAAGCCAAGCUUCAGCAAAUCGUGAACCGUGAACUUCCUGAUGUUCAAGCUGGUUUUAGAAAAGGCAGAGGAACCAGAGAUCAAAUUGCCAACAUCCGCUGGAUCAUCAAAAAAGCAAAAGAGUUCCAGAAAAACAUCUAUUUCUGCUUUAUUGACUAUGCCAAAGCCUCUGACUGUGUGGAUCACAAUAAACUCUGGAAAAUUCCGAGACAGUUGGGAAUACCAGACCACCUAACCUGCCUCUUGAGAAAUCUGUAUGCAGGUCAGGAAGCAACAGUUAGAACUGGACAUGGAACAACAGACUGGUUCCAAAUAGGAAAAAGAGUGUGUCAAAGCUGUAUAUUGUCACCCUGCUUAUUUAACUUAUAUGCAGAGUACAUCAUGAGAAAUGCUGGACUGGAAGAAACACAAGCUGGAAUCAAGAUUGUCGGGAGAAAUAUCAAUAACCUCAGAUAUGCAGAUGACACCACCCUUAUGGCAGAAAGUGAAAAGGAACUAAAAGUCUUCUUGAUGAAAGUGAAAGUGGAGAGUGAAAAAUUUGGCUUAAAUCUCAACAUUCAGAAAAUGAAGAUCAUGGCAUCCGGUCCCAUCACUUCAUGGGAAAUAGAUGAGGAAACAGUAGAAACAGUGUCAGACUUUAUUUGGGAGGGCUCCAAAAUCACUGCAGAUGGUGACUGCAGCCAUGAAAUUAAAAGACACUUACUCCUUGGAAGAAAAGUUACGACCAACCUAAAUAGUAUAUUCAAAAGCAGAGACAUUACUUUGUCGACUAAGGUCCAUCUAGUCAAGGCUAUGGUUUUUCCAGUAGUCAUGUAUGGAUGUGAGAGUUGGACUGUGUGA
rnacentral:lncRNA from 1 species